UUUAACAGAGUAUAAUAAGAGGUAAAAAAUUAUGAUGGUGGCUAUCCUGAAAGAUGAUGGUGCUUAUGAAAGUAAGUGCUAAAAUCGAUGAAAGGAGAAGCCUGUUGUCUGCAUUUGAAACAAUUCAGACCAUUUUAGGCUUUGGUAUGUUUACCAUUACUUUAAUUAGUUUGGU
rfam:Melissococcus plutonius ATCC 35311 plasmid pMP1 DNA, complete genome.